rnacentral:lncRNA from 1 species
UCUCACAGAACUGAUGUCUCUAGAGGAGUGUACCCCCUAGUGAGAACCUUCUAUUUCUAGAACAUUCUUUCUCCUGAUGAGGGAACAGCCUCACUGGAACUUCCCCAUCCUCCUGGCUUGGUUCCUGAAGUGGCCCAAGGCUGCCUUCUCUCUCCGGAGGCAGGCCCGUCUGCUGGUGGGAGUUAGACUCUGCAGCUGGCAGAUGGAGUGGCCAGUCUUGAAGAGUGAAGAAGCUGCAUGUGGCUGUGAAGAAUGGGAAGUACUUCUUGUGACAUGGGGAAGUGUGAGCUGUAGGUGUAUCAGCCUGCUCAGGCUGCAUAACAGAAUACAGCAGACUCAGGGGCUUAAACAACAGACACUUAUUCUAUCACGGUUCUGGAGGCUGGAAGUCCAAGAUUGAGGUACCCACAGGGUUGGUUCCAGGUGAGGCCUCCCAUCCUGCCCUGCAGAAGGCUGCCUUCUCACAAGGCCUUUCCGCUGUGCACAUGCACUCCUAGUAGCUCUUCCUUUUCUUAUGAAGACACACAUUCUGUUGGAUCGGUGCCUCAUCCUUACAACCUCAUUUAACCUUUAUUACCUCCUUAAAGACCCUAUCUUCAAAUAUAGUCACAUUUGGGGGUGGGAGUGGGGACAUAAUUUAGUGUAUAAGAGCAGGAAAUGCCUACAAUUCUGCAAUUGGUGUUUUAGUAUCAAUUUGUGUGUGUGUGUGUGUGUGAGAGAGAGAGAGAGAGAGAGAGAGAGAGAGAAAGACAGAGAGAGAGAGAGACAUCCCAAUUGGAUCACAAUCUUCUGAAGUAAGGCCUUUGUUUAAAACGUCAUUUUUUUUGGGCCGGGCUCAGGGGCUCACGCCUGUAAUCCCAGCACUUUGGAAAGUCAAGGCAGGCAGAUCACAAGGUCAAGAGAUGGAGACCAGCCUGGCCAACAUGGUGAACCCAGUCUCUACUAAAAAAAUUAGCUGGGCGUGCGUGGUGGCACAUGCCUGUAGUCCCAACUACUUGGGAGGCUGAGACAGGAGAAUCGCUUGAACCCAGGAGGCAGAGGUUGCAGUGAGCUGAGAUUGCAUCACUGCACUCCAGCCUGGUGACAGAGUGAGACUCCUUCUAAAAAACAAAAGUCAUUUUUUUUUCACCCCUGUCCUUUUACUCCCCCAGUCCUCCACCGCAGUGCCUAACACAGGCCUUCUGUCCAUUAGGCACUUGAGAACUGUAUGUGAUGCAAGCCCGAAGGAGCUUCCUGGUGCACAUGUGCAAAGAGAAGAGCGAAGCCAGUGCUUCAUUCUGGGAGAUGCUCUCAAAUCCAGGUAGGAGCUGGUGGAGGGAAGGCCCCAUCAGCUCACUCUCUGAAGUACGAGAUGGAAUUUUCAGAAGGGAAAUGAAUUCUAAUUUCAGCCUGUUCACACU